GAAGUUGACUAGACAGUCGCUGCUUCAUACUAACAAUAAUAUGAAGGAGAGGAAAGUCCGGGCUCCAUAGGGCAAGGUGCCAGGUAACGCCUGGGGGGUAGAAACAAACUUACGACAAGUGCAACAGAAAGUAAACCGCCAAUGGCCUAUUGAUUUUUAUUAUACUUGAUCAAAAAAUAAGUAUUAAUAAAUAGGAUCAGGUAAGGGUGAAAAGGUGCGGUAAAAGCGCACCGCGUAUUUGGUAACAAUUUACGGCACGGUAAACUCCACCUGGAGCAAGGCUAAAAAGAGGUUAAAUAGUGCGGCCCGUACUUAUAACCCAGGUAAGCUGCUUGAGCCAGAUCGCAAGUACUGGUCUAGAUGAAUGACUGUCCACGACAGAACCCGGCUUAACGGUCAACUUCUUCU
rnacentral:RNase_P_RNA from 2 species